AAAGUGAAUUUCCGGCACCCACCGUAACAAUUAUUACGGUGGUUCUCCAACCCCCAUCUGUCCACCCACCCUCCAUCACACCACACGCCCCUGCUCGCAAACCCCUCUCAUCUGCUCGCAAUCCAUGGCAAUUGCGCUACGGAGAACUUGGUGAGGGGUGGUCGCCGGCUCAAGGUAGUGAUUUGGAGACGCCGGCGCGAUCUGCGGCCUUGCCAGCGCGUUGUUCUAGAGGAGUCAGCGAAAUUUACCUGUGUGCUGUCUGUUAGUUAGUUCGCCACAUGGUGGCGCCACUGGACCAGGCGGCACCGCAUGCCACAUUGGAACAAGAUCAGCGAGACGCCGCCACAGCCACAGAGAACAGCGGCAGGGAUCACGGAGCUGCCGACAUAGCGGAUGCUGAUCCAGGGGAAGCAAUCUGCGCUCCUGGAUCCGCACCUUCUGUCACGUCAAGGAUUUCGGUGCAGAAGGUGUGCUCACUCGUGGGCAAGUUCAACAAAUUCAAGAGGGAUUUGGUCGAGGAGAUCGGCUUUGGUGGGAUGCUGGGGAUCAAGAUGCUGGCAAAGUUGAAUUUGAAAUUCAGCGCGUGGCUAAUGGAAAGAGUCGAGGUCGAGUCGAGUGCACUGAAAAUAGACGAGCAGAGGGUUCUGCAGAUCCAGGACCAUGAUGUCCAGAAGGUAUUCAGUCUGCCAUGCGGCACCAGAUCGAUAUGCCCCGAUACAACCGAGCCGUCCGAAGCUUGCAAGGAGUUCAUCCGAGCUUCUGCGUAUUUGAGUAAAGGUGCACAUAGUCUAAAGGCCGCGGAGGCUUAUCUCCUGAGAGAUGAUAUCAAUGCAGAUUCCAGCAAGGUCCGGAUAGAUUGCUUCAAGAUAGCCUUUGUCAUUUUUGUUGUUGGGCACCUGUUGGCUCCAUCCACUAAGCAUGACUACAUCACCAUAGAUUUCUGGGCUGCACUCAAUGAUAUCUCGCAAAUUAAAGAAUUUAAUUGGUGUGCUUAUGUGCUCGAGCAUUUGAACAGAGCUGUUGGGAAGUUGAAAUCUGACAUCCGCAACCGGAACAUCACUGUACAUCUUGUUGGCUGCCACCUGUUUCUUCAGGUAUUCUACUUGGACAAUCUUGAUGUUGGUCCACUUUCCAAGACAAAAGACCAUCUACCAAGGAUUAGUCUUUUUGACUACGAGUCCAUUAAGAAGAUGAUAGAAGUGAUCACUACCAACGUGGACGGAGAUACAUCAUUCGCUGGGGCCAAUUUUAGGCGCGCUCAAGAUGUUUGCUACUCCAGAGUCCACUACGAAAGCCACACGCACCGACCAGAUGUAGCUUCUGACCUGCCCCAUCAUGCCCCAGGUUUUGUUGGCACAAAGCACCAACACAACCCAAUUACUCCCAUGCUACGAAGCAGCUUCAUUGAAACUGGACAAGAAGAUCUCUCCAACCAUCUCCGAUCAAAAUACCCGUCACUUGCAGACCACCCGCUUAUGACCAUUUUGGAAGAACAUAAUGCACACAUGAUGGAAAAUAUAUCUGAAAUUAAGCGAAGUUGCCAAGUGGCGAUGUCUACCUUUGCGGACAAGCUUCUUGGCUAUAUAUCCGAGAACCGCUGUUGCUGCAGAGCGGCAGGGCGAACCGAUUGUUUACUGAGGUCGCCGCACACAAUUCAUGAGAUUUCAACCGAGCAGAAUUCACUCUCUCACAAACGGGAUGCACCUGGGUCCACUGGAGCAGGACAUCACAAGAAGAUCCGGGUGAACCAGCCUGUAGUUGAAACAGACCUUCAAGCAAGUAUACCUGGAUGCUCAACUAACAACAGUCUACCCCGCAGUCCUUUACAAGUUGACAUCAACCUGGCUGCACCGUAGUCCAGAUGAGGGUCUUUAUUUUGCGUCCAGCAUCGACUUUCACGCUGAAAUGUUCAUUCCUAGCUGGUUCAGGCAUUUCUGAAUGUGGAAGAAGCCAGAUAUACCGCAGCUAAAACUGCAGAGCUCAACCUCAGGCAUACUAUAAGCACCGGUGCUGGUUAUUUGACAAGGCAACAGUUUUGGCAUCAUGACAGCAAAACCGCGAUUUCUCCCUACAAAAACUCCUCUGCAGGCAAACUCAAACUCUCUAGGAAGAAAAAAAAAGACAAUGUUGUGAGACUGGGACUACAUUGACCAUAAAACACAAGGAGUUUGCUGCUUAGGAUGCGCAGAUGAGGAGUACCAUCAUUGUCUGCAGAUGCAUAGGAAGAUCGGUGGGCACGGGCAUUUUGUUGAGUAGGCUGAAAAGAAGAACAGGAAACACAAGUGAAGAGAUUAACUUGGCACAACAUAGUUUUGCAAGUUGACUUCAACAUUGCUAUUUUUAGUAAUGAAAGACGUGCUGUGAAGAUUCAAGCAAUGAGAAUGGACAGCAUACUUUGUAAAGCUAAGCUAAAACUGCAUGAUCAGGAUAUCCACUGAUUUUACAGUA